CUGAAAUCUAUGCAGCUUCUGCCUUAAGAAUCUCUGCUCUAAGUGCCAAUGCUUUUUGCUAGUGCUGCUGCCUCUAUUGCUAGUGCCAGUGCAGUAAAAUGUGCAAGAGAGAUUUGAAUAAGCUCAAACAGUUAAUUUCAAGUU